rnacentral:rRNA from 1 species
GACGUAGGGCGCGAGCGUUGUCCGGAAUUACUGGGCGUAAAGGGCGCGUAGGCGGCCUGUUAAGUCGAACGUGAAAUCCCCAGGCUCAACCUGGGAACUGCGUCCGAUACUGGCAGGCUUGAAUCCGGGAGAGGGAUGCGGAAUUCCAGGUGUAGCGGUGAAAUGCGUAGAUAUCUGGAGGAACACCGGUGGCGAAGGCGGCAUCCUGGACCGGUAUUGACGCUGAGGCGCGAAAGCCAGGGGAGCAAACGGG